CCCACGCGCUCACACAGCCCUCUGCUCUGGACGCAGAAAUGCACCUGCACUGCAUCCGCGCCAGAAGAACACGUGCUGUGCAAAGGCCCGGGUUCCCUGUGCCACGGUCAGCUCAGGAAGCAGAGGUGCGAAACAAAUGAUCACGGCAUCACAAAGAUCAGCAUCAAGGGGCCUAGAAACACCCUGUGCCCACCUGAGAGACCAGCCAGCCGCCCACACGGUGGAGAAUCUGGGCCAUCCUCCAGGGUAAUUUAACCCUCAGCCGCGGCUCUUACAGCCCUGCAGAUUGGAAGCACAAUGAGGAGCAGGACACUUAUGGAACUGCAGCUUCCGUCCGUACACAAAAUAGUUACUCACAAGGAGGAAGAAACGAGAAACCUGACGGUGGAGAGGCCGUGAGGGGCCAGCCCGCUGGGAGCCAUGGAGACCAGGCACCCCGAGGGACGCAGGAGACUGGGCCCACUCCUCCUGCAGACCCGACGGAGCAGAACGCCCCGAGCAAACACCAGACCAAGUCUAUGACAUAAUCUGCUGGGUGCCAGGGACACGAGGGUCACAGAAGUCCUGAGGAACAUUCCAGAUUGAAGGACACCCAGGGGCACGGCCACUAAAUGCAAGGAGGGGUCCUGGGGAGAUGCACUUUCUCUAAAGGUGAUGUUGGACCAGUUGUUGGAGAUGGAUCGAGGCCUGUGGAUUGGGUGACCUCAGGCCAUUAGGCCAAUGUCAUCCAGACAGCGGUGCUGUGAGAACAUAAGAGAAUGUCCUUUGUAGGAAAC